UACGAAGGGGGCUAGCGUUGUUCGGAAUUACUGGGCGUAAAGCGUGCGCAGGCGGUUCGUUGUGUCUGAUGUGAAAGCCCCGGGCUCAACUUGGGAACGGCAUUGGAAACUGGCGAGCUAGAGUGUGGCAGAGGGGGGUGGAAUUCCGCGUGUAGCAGUGAAAUGCGUAGAGAUGCGGAGGAACACCGAUGGCGAAGGCAGCCCCCUGGGCUGACACUGACGCUCAGGCACGAAAGCGUGGGGAGCAAACAGG
rnacentral:rRNA from 1 species